GACGUAGGGCGCGAGCGUUGUCCGGAUUUAUUGGGCGUAAAGAGCUCGUAGGCGGCUUGUUGCGUCGGCUGUGAAAACCCAUGGCUCAACCGUGGGCUUGCAGCCGAUACGGGCAGGCUAGAGUUCGGUAGGGGAGACUGGAAUUCCUGGUGUAGCGGUGAAAUGCGCAGAUAUCAGGAGGAACACCGGUGGCGAAGGCGGGUCUCUGGGCCGGUACUGACGCUGAGGUGCGAAAGCGUGGGGAGCAAACAGG
rnacentral:rRNA from 1 species